rnacentral:tRNA from 1 species
AGAUAAAUUUAAUGAAAUUUCUAAUUUCUGAUUAGUCUUACAUAAGGCUUUUAUCUU